rnacentral:rRNA from 1 species
GACGAACCGUGCGAACGUUAUUCGGAAUCACUGGGCUUAAAGGGCGCGUAGACGGGCGACCGCGUCGAUGGCUGAAAGCCCCCGGCUCAACCGGGGAACGGGCCUCGAUACGGGUCGCCUCGAGUGGAGGAGGGGGACCUGGAACUGCCGGUGGAGCGGUGAAAUGCGUUGAGAUCGGCAGGAACGCCUGUGGCGAAAGCGGGUUGCUGGGCCGACACUGACGCUGAGGCGCGAAAGCCAGGGGAGCGAACGGG